GAUGAACGCUGGCGGCGUGCCUAAUACAUGCAAGUCGAACGGAAAGGCCCUGCUCUUGCGCCUCUCACGUGUGGCGCACGGGGGUGUAUCACGCGAGGAUACCGUCCCUGUCAUUCUGAUAUAACUUCGAACAGGGGCAAAUACUAGCUAGUAAUAUCUGCUGCCUCGUGGUGCAUGGGAAGAUUCGGCGGUUGGGGAUGGAUAUGCGGCGUUUCAGCCCGCUUUUGGGGUUGUGGCUUAUCAAGGCUUAGCCGGGUAGCCGGCCUUAGCGGGGACCCGGGCACAGUGGGACUGAGAUACGGCCCAGACUCCUACGGGAGGCACAAGUGGGGAAUAUUAAACAAUGGGCGGAAGCCUGAUGCAGCAGCGCCGCGUGCGGGAUGACGGCCUUCGGGUUGAAAACCGCUUUCGCCUGGGACGAAGCGUGAGUGACGGUAAUGGAUAAAGAAGCACCGGCUAACUACGUG
rnacentral:rRNA from 1 species